CAGUAGCCAGCGGUAAUACGUAGGGUGCAAGCGUUAAUCGGAAUUACUGGGCGUAAAGCGUGCGCAGGCGGUUAUAUAAGACAGAUGUGAAAUCCCCGGGCUCAACCUGGGAACUGCAUUUGUGACUGUAUAGCUAGAGUACGGCAGAGGGGGAUGGAAUUCCGCGUGUAGCAGUGAAAUGCGUAGAUAUGCGGAGGAACACCGAUGGCGAAGGCAAUCCCCUGGGCCUGUACUGACGCUCAUGCACGAAAGCGUGGGGAGCAAACAGGAUUAGAUACCCCUGUAGUCCCUGUCUCUUAUA
rnacentral:rRNA from 1 species